CUUAAGUUUCUGUUGUUUACAGCUUUCCCUCCUCUGCCCUCAUCCCUCUAGAUUAUUAAGUUCCUGCAACUUAACUGGGAACUGAUCAAGAUUUCAAGCUAAAGAUGGUGGUGAUGAACAGCCUGAGGGUCAUUCUUCAAGCCUCUCCAGGCAAAUUGCUGUGGAGAAAGUUCCAGAUUCCGAGAUUCAUGCCAGCGAGGCCCUGCAGCCUCUAUACUUGUACUUACAAAACCCGGAACCGAGCCUUUUUCCUGUUGUUCUUGAUUCUACCCAUCCAUGGUACUUCUAAAGGACAGGGAAAUGGACCACCCCAAACUGAUGUACAUUGGUUCUGCUCAUCACACUUGGGGGUCUCAACAGGCUGAUCUGUGUUAUCAGCAAGUCUGCUGAUACUUAUCAGGGACUUGCUACAGAGACCUGGUGCUUGACUCUGGAAGAAAAUCAGCAUCAGCAAUGUCUUCAGUGCCUGUGGAGGAUAAAUUAUAUGUGUACACCUUAAUAGAUAAUCUC
rnacentral:lncRNA from 1 species